AUUAAAAACUAAGGCAAAACCUGUUUAGUAAGCCCAUGGCCAAAAACUGGCUUAAAAAAACAACAUUAAAAGCUAGGUUUAAAAAGGCAAUUUAGUAAGCACAUGAUAAAAAAAAGUGAAUAAAAACAUUCAGUAUCAGGAUAGGUUAAGAAAAAAGGUUAAAAACAGCAAGAAAAGGGAAUUUAGUAAGCACUAAAAAUUAGGAAGUAAUAAAAAAGUGAAUAAAAAAGUAUUCAGUAACAGGGGGAAAAUAGAGAGCACAUGGCUGAAUUGGAGAAAGAGAAAGAGAUCUUUACCUUUCCUAAAAAACAGGGCAAGAAAAGGGGAAAAAUAGAGAGCACAUGGUUGCAGAGCCUGUUUUGUAAGCACAUGAUAAAAAAGUGAAUAAAAAAGCAUUCAGUAACAGGGGAGGUUAAAAGAACGAACAGGGGGAAAAUAGAGAGCACAUGGUUGAAUCAAAGAGAGAGAGAGGAUCUUUACCUUACAUUAAAAGCUAUAAAAACAGGAUUAAAAAGUAAAUUUAGGAAGAACACGAUAAAAAAAUGAAUAAAAAAAGCAUUAAACAAUAUUAAAAACUAAGGCAAAACCUGUUUAGUAAGCACAUGGCCAAAAACUGGCUAAAAACAUUAAAAGCUAGGUUUAAAAAGGCAAUUUAGUAAGCACAUGAUAAAAAAAGUGAAUAAAAAAACCACAUUCAGUAUCAGGAUAGGUUAAGAAAAAAAGGUUAAAAAACAGGGCAAGAAAAAGGAAUUUCGUAAGCACAUAAUAAAAAAGUGAAUAAAAAAGCAUUCAGUAACGGGGAAAAUAGAGAGCACAUGGCUGAAUUGGAGAGAGAAAGAGAUCUUUACCUUUCCUAAAAAACAGAGCAAGAAAAGGGGAAAAAUAGAGAGCACAUGGUUGCAGAGCCUGUUUAGUAAGCACGUGAUAAAAAAAUGAAUAAAAAAACAUUCAGUAUCAGGGUAGAUUAAAAGAAAGAACAGAGGAAAGAGAGA